rnacentral:rRNA from 1 species
UGGGGGAUAUUGCACAAUGGGCGAAAGCCUGAUGCAGCGACGCCGCGUGGGGGAUGAAGGCCUUCGGGUUGUAAACUUCUUUUGCUCUGAACAAGGCGCACCAUGGGGUGUGUUGAGUGUAGGGGUUGAUUAGCGCCGGCUAACUACGUGCCAGCAGCCGCGGUAAUACGUAGGGCGCGAACGUUGUCCGGAAUUAUUGGGCGUAAAGGGCUUGUAGGUGGCUGGUUGCGUCUGUCGUGAAAGCUCAUGGCUUAACUGUGGGUUUGCGGUGGGUACGGGCUGGCUUGAGUGCAGUAGGGGAGGCUGGAAUUCCUGGUGUAGCGGUGGAAUGCGCAGAUAUCAGGAGGAAUACCGGUGGCGAAGGCGGGUCUCUGGGCUGUUACUGACACUGAGGAGCGAAAGCAUGGGGAGCGAACAGG